rnacentral:rRNA from 1 species
AUUGAACGCUGGCGGCACGCCUAACACAUGCAAGUCGAGCGGUAACAUGCUUAGUAGCAAUACUAAGUGAUGACGAGCGGCGGACGGGUGAGGAACACGUAGGAACCUGCCCAAAAGUGGGGGAUAACUAAGGGAAACUUUAGCUAAUACCGCAUAAUUCUAUGAGGAGAAAAGUUGCCCGUAAGGGUAGCGCUUUUGGAGGGGCCUGCGUCCGAUUAGUUAGUUGGUGAGGUAAUGGCUAACCAAGACUGUGAUCGGUAACUGGUCUGAGAGGACGGCCAGUCACACUGGGACUGAGACACGGCCCAGACUCCUACGGGAGGCGGCAGUGGGGAAUCUUGGACAAUGGGGGCAACCCUGAUCCAGCGAUGCCGCGUGGGUGAAGAAGGCCUUCGGGUUGUAAAGCCCUUUAGGCUGGGAAGAAGAGUGUGGGAUGAAUAAUCCUGUACUUUGACGGUACCAGCAGAAUAAGCACCGGCAAACUCUGUGCCAGCAGCCGCCGUAA